rnacentral:pre_miRNA from 11 species
UCAUUGUCCCUGAGACCCUUAACCUGUGAUGAUAUGAAAGGUCACAGGUGAGGUCCUUGGGAAUAAAG